UGGCUGAGGGAUAUCUGGCUGUGACUUUGGUCGUGCUGUUAAUCAUCAUGGUGAUUUAGCCUGCCUGACUGGUUAGGCUGGUGUCCUUGUCCUCUUCCAUGUUUCAUGUAGAUCCAUCCGGAAGCUGAUUGUGUAAAGGUGAAGAGGACCACCUUCCCUGAAAUAGGAUAGGUCUUCAGCUAAGGGGAAGAAGUAGCCGUGCUCCUCUGCUAGAACUCCCAACAACCUCUCAAGAUUGAACUUUCUGAUGGAGGAAACUCCGCUUCGGCUCCUUGUCUUCUGACUUUCUACAUAAUGCAGCUCACAGUAAGGCAUAGUG
rfam:Mesocricetus auratus contig012197, whole genome shotgun sequence.